GACAUGCUGACGAGCUCCAAGACCAAGCUUUUCACAGUUCCCACAUUCCCAGCAUUCCAAGGGGAUGAUAAGAAGCUGCUGGACGAAAUCAUUUGCCCUCUGCCUUCACCAGGAAAUCACCUUCAGUGAAGCAACUGACCAUGACAAACGAUUGUACAUUUACUGGUCUCUGAAACUCUGGGUUCUUUGCUAUUUGCCCACUUUUAUAUGCAAGUUCUCUGUCAGUGAGUUUCUAUUUCAGCCAUGACAUUCCUCGGGACUUGCUUACAAAUCAGCCAGCCAGGUGUCAGAUUCCUCACACAAAUGCAGGGAAAGAAAAAAUCAUAAGCUAUUCUACGGAGAACAAGUUCUACAAAACUCAAUGAGCGAAAAAAAGGUUGUUGCUUGAGGAAGA